rnacentral:rRNA from 1 species
GAUGAACGCUGGCGGCGUGCCUAAUACAUGCAAGUCGAGCGAACAGACGAGGAGCUUGCUCCUUUGACGUUAGCGGCGGACGGGUGAGUAACACGUGGGUAACCUACCUAUAAGACUGGGAUAACUUCGGGAAACCGGAGCUAAUACCGGAUAAUAUUUCGAACCGCAUGGUUCGAUAGUGAAAGAUGGCUUUGCUAUCACUUAUAGAUGGACCUGCGCCGUAUUAGCUAGUUGGUAAGGUAACGGCUUACCAAGGCAACGAUACGUAGCCGACCUGAGAGGGGGAUCGGCCACACUGGAACUGGGACACGGGCCAGACCCCUACGGGAGGCAGGAGUGGGGAAUCUUCCGCAAUGGGCGAAAGCCUGCCGGAGCAACGCCGCGGGGGUGAUAAAGGGCUUCGGAUCGUAAAACUCUGUUAUUAGGGAAAAACAAACGUGUAAGUAACUGUGCACGUCUUGACGGUACCUAAUCAAAAAGCCACGGCUAACUACGU